rnacentral:lncRNA from 1 species
UGACAGUAAUCUCAGGACAUUCCAAAGUGCUAUGCUGCAUAGAGCUAUUCCUUGGAAGACAGCAGUCAGAAAUCAAGGACCUGAUUCAGGAAACAAGGAUGCCUGUGUCAGUGCAGAAAGUGAGGGAAGGUCAGCAGUGCAUGCUGCUCCUUCCAGCUCUGAUCUGGCAGGUGGAGGAGUUUCACCCUUCUGCCCAAACCAUUUAGCACCAAAGCCAUUUAGAAUGAGUAAGCGAACAUCCAAGAACUAGAAGCCAAAUAAGGUAAGCAUUGGCCACAUUGUUAUUGUUAGGUCUGUUUUAUGGAGGAGUGGGUAUGUGUGCGUGUGGUGGGCCGCCUGCAAUGUUAAGAGAACUCAAAUAAUUGACAAUUAUUUUCCAUUUAUCUCAAGGAUUAACUAAAGAAGGAAGUCCUCAAAAUACAUCAUUUUUAUAGUAAACUAGCUUAUGUCCUAUCUGAUGAAAGACAAAUUGGGAAACAUUUGAAAUGUUACCUACAGGCAUCAAUUUUGGGUGAUAUCUAUUCAAACUGCCUGUAACCUUAUUAUGUUAUCAUCCAAAAAAAAGAUGUCUAUAGAAAAGAAGAAUAAAAUACUAAGUAAAUAGCUUGUUCUUUACCUA